rnacentral:lncRNA from 1 species
GAUCCUCUCUUCCUUCUCCUUCUAGCUAUCUCGUUUUGAUCGGUGGAGGAAGAUUUGAAGGUGUUUGAGACUGUGAACAGUACCGUGAACAGUAACUCUCGAAUUCUUGGGUUCUUGUUUGAUUUUUCUGGAUAUUCCUACUUGAAUUUGGUUGUUGUUGCAGGUUUAGAGAUAGUUGUGUGGGUUAUGAAGUUGAUUUUGGAAUAAAUGGGUUGAUUGGAAUUGAAUUUAAUCUUUAAGUUUGUGUUAAAUUUGAAAUUGUUGGAUAUUGAGGUUUUGUUGGUUUUGGAUUGUUGAACAUGGUUGUUGGAUUUGUCAUGUUGGUAGUGUUGGGUGAAUUCUCUUGUUAAAGGACUAUUGUGAAUUAUUUGUUAGGUAGUAGAGUGAAUUUGAGAAGGUGGAGUUGGAAUCGUGAAUUAGAAAAAGGGAAAAAUUAAGAAUGAUUGUGGAAAUUUUUGGAAGGAUUUAUAUUAUCGAUUGGUGGUAAUUUGUGAUGAAGGAGGUGAGAUUAAAUUGAUUUAGUUAUCGAAAGGUUCUUGUGAAGAUUUAAAUUAAGUGAAGUCCUUGAUCGAUUGAGAAUCGAAUUAAAAAUCGGUUGAGUAGUUUGAGUUAGAGGGCAUUGAGAUUUUAAGGAAUUAUAGAAUUAAUCCCAAAUUAAAGUGUGGGAGUUUUAUAACAAUUUGUGAAUAACGGAUGCUUAUUCCGAGGGAAAUGAGACGUACUGAGCCCUCGAGCGAGGAGGACACAGGCAGGCAGCAGGGUUAGCUGCGGGAUUCACUU